UAUACUUCCCCCCAAAACAAAACAAUUACAUAAAAAUUGAAGGACUCGCCUGUCCUGCCUCUCUCUCGAUUCCCAGCUCUCUUUCGAUUUUCUCUCUCCCGAACACUCUCGACAACAAAAUUGAAGGAUGAAUUGAAGGAUAAAUUAAAGAUUUGUUAGUUGAAUACACAAGUCUUUGGUUCCAAUUAGAAGGCUUUUACUAAUUUUAUUUUAAUUUUACAGGUGAUUAGGGCUUCAAUUAAUUGGGGUUUUCUUGCAGCAUUCCAGAAAUGGGAGUUUGACUCUUCUUGCUACUCAGGUUCUUGCUACUCAGGACAAAUCACAUUUAUGAUCUGCCAAUGCUGAAGCACGCAGAGAGGCAAGGCCAUGGAUGAGCUGGUCGAGAUCAGGGAGUGUAAUGGUACAAGUAGACUUGUGGUUAUUCCUGUAUUUUACAAUGUUGAUAAAUACAACUUGGAGAAUCAACUGGAGACUUGUGCUAGAGCGUUUGAUCAAUUGCAACUAACAGGAUCAGCGUUGUGUCAGAGACUGGCAAUUGAGGAGAUUGUUGGUAUGCUGGGAUUGGAUCUGAAUAAGUUUGCGCCUAGGUAACCAUCUUUUUCUAGCACUUUCUUGAUAGUGUGUAUACAGGAGCAUAUAACUCUGUUGAAUUUAAUUUGCAAACACUUCCUAGUUAAAACCAAAUAAAAGAAAAAUGAUGCCACCUUGUAUUAUUUAUACCGGUCUCGUUAAUAAAAACAUAUGAUAUCUAUUGAAGAUGCUACAUAUAAAUAUGAAACAGUGCUAACAUUUGACAUGUAUAUUACCAGCUUACAGCCCCAUGUGCUUGUUUUCGAAGAUAUGAUGAAGAUCAAGAAAUAGAUCAAAACCAUUUAAAAUGAAUGAAUGAACAUUAGGUAAAGCAUUUAGGUUAAUAUACACACUUACAGUUGGCAGUUAAACGAGUCAGUGAUAUGAGAAAACAGAAUUUUUGGACCAACAACUUACCACAGUACAAGGUUCUUUCUUGGUUUGUGACUUGAUCAGGUUAGCUGCUUGAGAUCUUCGCAUCCAAACACCCCAGAAAGACAUCAAUGCUCCCAGAAGCAAGAAGGGUCCGCAUCGUGGAUCACACAAGAGAUCAUGGAGUCCAGAAGUAAGACUAAUGACUCGACGCAUUAUUCCCUUGCCCGAGGAAAGAAUCUUCUUAGUGCUAGUUGACCAUAUAGGGUCCACGUCCUCAGGAACAAGCUCAGGAGAAGAAAAGUUUGUGAAUAAGUUUGUGAGAUUCUGAGAGAAGAAAAGACACGGGCUGACGAAUUUUGCUACUCUUCCUUUUGUUUAUGAAUGUUUAAUAUAAGCGGCAAGUUUACAGUAUUGUAAGUGUAGUUGCUAUGGUUUCAUUUUCAGUUGCGUGCCUGGAAUAUGGUAUUGCAGAGGAUAUUAGUCUCUGUUGGAAGUAUGUAAUUUAUGACUAAGUUUAUUUGUCAGAAGGUUUGUAUUAUUAUUUUAGACUUUUAGUACGAAAAUAAAUUUAUUUAUUUUUUUCUUUU